rnacentral:tRNA from 1 species
GAGAAAGAAGCAUAGGUGGUUUAUGCAGUUGGCUUGAAACCAACGUAUGGGGGUUCAACUCCUUCCUUUCUUG